AGCAUUUACUGGCCGUAUUUUGCAAAACAGAUGUUGGAAAGGAAACGCCCUGUCAUUCAGAUGGGGUGAGUGGGCCCGAGCUGCUCAGCGACAUAAACUGGACAUCUGGCCUCGACAGUGGAGCAGAGUCACAAUCUGACGCCCCAGGGCCAAAGCCCUUUGCUGCCCUGAGAACACCGCACUCAGAAGCAGCCUCUGUCUGUUCCGGGUCCCUGGAUGGCGUGGAGUACUCGGAGCGGAAGGAGAAAGGUGUCGUGAAGAUGACGGUACCCAGGACACUCGCCCUCUGCUACUUGUCCUAACUGUGGCAGAGAGAAGCAGUGACUCUCUCAGAUCUGCUGAGAUUUGUCGAAGAGGAUCAUAUUCCUUACAUAAAGGCUUUUCAGAAUUUCCCAGAAGAGAUGAAAUUGUAUGGACGUGACAAAGGAAUCUUUGCUAUAGAGUCUUGGCCGGACUAUGAGGAAAUCUAUAAAUACACUGUUGAAAUCGCCACGUUCUUAGAUUUGCCCCGUUUUCCGGACAUCACUAAGGACUGCUUCCUGCACCCCAACAUCCUGUGUGUGAAAUACCUGAUGGAAGCCAACCUCCCUGAUGAAAUGCACGGAUUAAUCCGCCAGGUGACAGAGAUGACCGGCUGGGGAGAGGUGGACUCCCUGACCUUUGACCCCAUCGCGAAAGCUGCCACAACUGUGAAGUAUGACGUGCUGGCUGUGGCUCUCAUCGUGGUGGUCUUAAAGCUGCUCUUCCUACUGGACGACAGCGUAGAGUGGUCUUUGUCUGAUCUCGCUGAAGUCAACAAUGAAAAGAACAAAACAGGGAAGCCAUGGUUCAGUUUCAGGAAGUGGUACCACGUCAUGAAGAGGACACUGGAGGAGCAGAGGCGGAAGUGGGAGGACGCACGCGCCAAGUACAUGUGGAAGAGCGAAAAGCCACUCUACCACUCCCACAUUGACAAGCCUGUGGCCUACAAGAGGAGGGAAGUGGUGGUUAAUCUGCAGAAGCAGUUCAGCACCCUGCUGGAUCCAGCCCCAACCGUGACGAAGAAAAGCGCUGCGAGUUUCCAGCUCAGCUGGGCCGAAGGCGACCCCGGCCGGCCCUGUUUCCACAGCCACAGUCUUGGGGGUGUCCUGCUAAAAAAAGGCCAGGCACUGGUGACCAAGAACUCCUUAUACUGGCUGAGCACCCAGAAAUUCUGCAGAAGCUACUGCAAACACGUGACCACCUACGAAGAGUCCAAUUUCUCCCUGAGCUAUCAGUUUCUACUAAACCUCUUCGCCUUCCUGCUGCGAGUAAAGGCUGCCCUCCUCCACGACGAAGUGAGCCUAAUUGAAAAAAAGCUUUUUAAAAAGAAAUACAAUGAAGCCAAAAAGAACCCAAGAUCCAGGAAAGGAAGAAGAUAGUGGACCAACGAAAAUGGAGACUUUGUUGGAAAAAUAUUUUGCAAGUGACAGUAAUGUGGAAUUGUGGAAAAUAUAAUUUUACCGCAUGUAGAGAUGGAACAAGCUUGUAAAUAUGUGUAUUACAAAAUGAGCAAACUUUGCAUUUAUUUUUUUAAGUGAUGUAUGUUCUUUGAAAAAGUUAAAACAAUAAAUUAUGUAAAUCCAGAAAUU
ensembl:lincRNA